rnacentral:rRNA from 1 species
UACGGGGGGGGGGCAAGCGUUUGUUCGGAAUUACUGGGCGUAAAGGGCUCGUAGGCGGCCAACUAAGUCAGACGUGAAAUCCCUCGGCUUAACCGGGGAACUGCAUCUGAUACUGGAUGGCUUGAGAUUGGGAGAGGGAUGCGGAAUUCCAGGUGUAGCGGUGAAAUGCGUAGAUAUCUGGAGGAACACCGGUGGCGAAGGCGGCAUCCUGGACCGACACUGACACUGAGGAGCGAAAGCCAGGGGAGCAAACGGG